ensembl:piRNA 21ur-12154 ncRNA
UGUUUUUCGGGACUUUAAAAG